CCUACGGGUGGCAGCAGUGAGGAAUAUUGGUCAAUGGACGAGAGUCUGAACCAGCCAAGUAGCGUGAAGGAUGACUGCCCUAUGGGUUGUAAACUUCUUUUAUAUGGGAAUAAAACGUUCCACGUGUGGGAUUUUGUAUGUACCAUAUGAAUAAGGAUCGGCUAACUCCGUGCCAGCAGCCGCGGUAAUACGGAGGAUCCGAGCGUUAUCCGGAUUUAUUGGGUUUAAAGGGAGCGUAGGUGGAUGGUUAAGGCAGUUGUGAAAGUUUGCGGCUCAACCGUAAAAUUGGAGUUGAAACUGGCAGUCUUGAGUACAGUAGAGGUGGGCGGAAAUCGUGGUGUAGCGGUGAAAUGCUUAGGUAUCACGAAGAACUACGAUUGCGAAGGCAGUUCACUGGACUGCAACUGAAAGUGAGGCCCGAAAGUGUGGGUAUCAAACAGGAUUAGGUACCCGUGUAGUC
rnacentral:rRNA from 1 species